AUGUGUUGGGGAACAGCAACAUUUUAUUUUGAGCUGGUUUCAUCACUGAGGAAGAAGAUUUUUGUGUUGGGUUUGUAAUGGGGGAUCCUGCCAUCCGACUUUUAAGGCUCUCUUUAGCGCUUCUCAGUCUCUGUCUACAUGGCCAGAUCAAAACUGUUUAUGGCAGUGAACCUUAUCCUGGGUCUUAUAAUGUUGGAUUUCCCAUGAUGGAUGGGCUUAGACCAUGGAAUCUGUAUGACCAAGGAGGUUUCACUGGGCCUCUAAUACCCAACAAUAUGACCUACACUUCAGUUAAAGGUGUAUAUGACAGUGCAAGCUAUAAUCCUCAAACUGGCUCUUCAGGUUUUGGCGUGGUGCCCAAUUUAAAUAAGCCUGAUUCUGUGUCCAAUACUAGAGGUCAACCCCAAGGCACUCCUGUAUCUUCAGUCAAUAGUGAAAGUCUUGUUUCUAGUUCUGUGUCCACUGAGGUCGAUACAACAGGAAGCAAUGAGUCUCUACCCACUUCAGCGUCACUGCAGACUAGUAGUGAGUCACAACCUGACAUGCAGCAACCAACUGAGGCCAGCUCACCACUGGUUGACCAGUCCGAUAUUCAACCAGUCCAAGCCAGCUCUGCAUCUGUUGCCCAGCCUAUUAGCCUGUCAGCACCAACAAGCCACCAAUCUGUUCAAGCCAUUUACCAGUCUUUGGCCCAGCAGCCAAACCAAGCCAGCAAUGUGCCCUUAAGACU
ensembl:processed_transcript